AGCGAACGCUGGCGGCAGGCCUAACACAUGCAAGUCGAGCGCCCCGCAAGGGGAGCGGCAGACGGGAGAGUAACACGUGGGAACGUACCCUUUGGUUCGGAACAACCCAGGGAAACUUGGGCUAAUACCGGAUAAGCCCUUACGGGGAAAGAUUCAUCGCCGAAGGAUCGGCCCGCGUCUGAUUAGCUAGUUGGUGGGGUAACGGCCCACCAAGGCGACGAUCAGUAGCUGGUCUGAGAGGAUGAUCAGCCUCACUGGGACUGAGACACGGCCCAGACUCCUACGGGAGGCAGCAGAGGGGAAUAUUGGACAAUGGGCGCAAGCCUGAUCCAGCCAUGCCGCGUGGGUGAUGAAGGCCCUAGGGUUGUAAAGCCCUUUCGGCGGGGAAGAUAAUGACGGUACCCGCAGAAGAAGCCCCGGCUAACUUCGUGCCAGCCGCCGCAGUAAUAC
rnacentral:rRNA from 1 species